rnacentral:rRNA from 1 species
UGGGGAAUUUUGGACAAUGGGGGCAACCCUGAUCCAGCAAUGCCGCGUGUGUGAAGAAGGCCUUCGGGUUGUAAAGCACUUUUGUCCGGAAAGAAAACGUCGUGGUUAAUACCCGUGGCGGCUGACGGUACCGGAAGAAUAAGCACCGGCUAACUACGUGCCAGCAGCCGCGGUAAUACGUAGGGUGCAAGCGUUAAUCGGAAUUACUGGGCGUAAAGCGUGCGCAGGCGGUCCGCUAAGACAGAUGUGAAAUCCCCGGGCUUAACCUGGGAACUGCAUUUGUGACUGGCGGGCUAGAGUAUGGCAGAGGGGGGUAGAAUUCCACGUGUAGCAGUGAAAUGCGUAGAGAUGUGGAGGAAUACCGAUGGCGAAGGCAGCCCCCUGGGCCAAUACUGACGCUCAUGCACGAAAGCGUGGGGGAGCAAACAGGAUUAGAUACCCUGGUAGUCCACGCCCUAAACGAUGUCAACUAGUUGUCGGGUCUUCAUUGACUUGGUACGUAGCUAACGCGUGAAGUUGACCGCCUGGGGAGUACGGUCGCAAGAUUAAAACUCAAAUGAAUUGACGGGGG